rnacentral:snRNA from 1 species
UGACUGUCGCUAUAAACAGUCGCU